AGAGUCCAGAGGGAAGGAAGCGGCGGGGACGCGCGGUGCGUGGUCGCGCUUGCUGUCCUACUCCGGUUCCUAGCGUGCGGCGGCGCGGCCGCAUCUCCUGUUGGCGUGGCCGGCGGCGCGCGCCUGUCUCCCGGGGCUUUGUUUGAUGGGCGGGAGAAGAGGGAAGGGUACCUGAGCACGCGGGUGCUCGGCGCUGUGAAAGCCGGAGAGACGAGAGGGGGACCGGGAGGCGGCGGAGAGGAAGAAGGGGGAAAGGGAAAGGAAAAUGCCUAGAAACUAGUUCCGUACUUCCUGACCGGUGGAAGAAACAGCCUUAGCCAGCAGCGCAGAGACCAUGCAGGAGUCAGAACAGUUUAUACUUCCACAUCUAAGCAAGAUGAAAUAAGAGGGACUGGAUUUACCCUUCUGCCUGAAACAACAAAAAGUCUGGACAGAAUAUAUGAAACAACUGUUUUUAAAGACAGCCAACAUUGAGCAAAAAAGACAAUGAUUCCUGAGAGACAAGAAUGAAGAGAGCUCCAAGGAGAGAUGGGAAACAAAUGAGAAUUUCCAAGAAAAGUGUGCACAGAAAGAGACUGCCAGGUUUUCUGAGGUGAGGAGAUGGAACUGGAAAUACAGAAAGGCCAAAGAGACCAGAGUUUAUAGAUCAGAGUAUUAAGAAGGAGAAAGCUAUGUAAAAAGAGAAUUCAAGAGAUCUGUAGAAGGUGCCCCUGAAGUCAACACCCUAAUGACAAGGCACACAUGAACAGAUUGGACAAAAAAGCAAAAUGCAACUAUAUUCUAUCUACUAAAAAACCUACUUUAAAUAAGGCAUAGUUAAAAAAGAAAAGGAUAGGAAAAGAUAUACCUGCCAAUGCUAAUCAAAAUAAGGAUGAAAAAUGAAUUUCAAAGCAAAAAUAUUACCAGGGCCAAAGAGGGUCACUUCUUAGAAUGAUUUGGUAUUUGCUUCUACAAGGCUCCCUGUGAGUAUUAUUAGCUUUCAUAUUCAUGGACACAAAGAGAGGAGACUAAGUGUAAGAAUAAGAGGUAGAGACUUGACACUGAGACUGGAAUUUCUCGGCUUAAAUGUCUUCAGGCCCUAUAGAGAGUAAAUUUUAAUCUCAAAUUUGAAUGCUGCUCUGAGGUAAACUCUAAGAGGGGACUGUUUUUGGACCCAGAAUGUAGUAAGAUGACAAACUUUCCUGUCCCCUGGUGUCAUUUUUUUUUUUUUCUUACUUCACACUUUCACUGGAUUCCAGUUAAGUCCAUCUUUUUGUAGAGGGCCUCAGUUCUAAGGCUCUACCUUGCCUCAUCCGAGCCUCACCUGUAUAUCUAUGUCUACAGUGAAUGAAAACACCUCCUUUGCCCUACCCUAAGACAAGUCCAGCACCAAUUCACAUUUUGAGAUCUAGUUUUUAGUUUUGUCUUCAUGUUUGACUUCCGGGGAUUUCCUUACUCUCUUGCAAGCUCAGUUAUGCAUUUAAAAGUAGGUUUGUUAUAUUUUAUCCAGCAAUUUUUUGUUGUUUCAUUGGAAGUUUUUGAGAUAUAGAUUGCGCUUUGCUGGUAAUGGAAGUCUGUGUUUCUCUAAGUGAAGUAGUAGUUAAAGUGGCUACUGUAACAUGAGGGUAAGGUUUGGAGAUAAUAUUCACAAAAUACUGAGCACACUGCCUGGGCCAAAGUUAAUGCUCAGUACUGAUAGUUACAAUGGGGUGACUACAGUGUCUAAGGCAUAGUGCUUUGGAGAUACAAAACAAGACAGAAUGCACUUUGGAGAAAACAAAAAUACACCGGAUGGAGGUCUUGUUAUUUUUGUAGACUUUCUGUAGAACUUUCAUCAAGAUAUCUUUUUUUUUUUUUUUAAGAACUUGCUAUUUUGGGUUUUAAGUAAUAGCAAAUGUAAAUUUUUUUUAUGAGUUACUUUUCACUUUUCAAAAUAAAAUUUGUAUAGAAAAUGGUUUAACUAUAUGAUAAUGACUUGUCUACAGGGAUUAGUUAUUAGAUAGGAAAUUGAUUGUGAAAGAAGGAAAAAUCAUUUAUGUAUGUUAAAGUCAGGGUUGUGGAUACUGAGACACAAAAAAAACAGUUUUUGCUCCUAAAAGAGCUGGGGAUCUGGUCAAGAUAUUAUUUGACACACACAUACUUACAAAAAUCAGCUUCCUAUAUUAUCAGAUAAUAUGUGCUUAAAAAAAAAAAAAGGUUACAAAUAACAAGUACUGUGAAAGGU